CCUACGGGAGGCAGCAGUGGGGAAUCUUGCGCAAUGGGCGAAAGCCUGACGCAGCCAUGCCGCGUGAAUGAUGAAGGUCUUAGGAUUGUAAAAUUCUUUCACCGGGGACGAUAAUGACGGUACCCGGAGAAGAAGCCCCGGCUAACUUCGUGCCAGCAGCCGCGGUAAUACGAAGGGGGCUAGCGUUGCUCGGAAUUACUGGGCGUAAAGGGAGCGUAGGCGGAUAGUUUAGUCAGAGGUGAAAGCCCAGGGCUCAACCUUGGAAUUGCCUUUGAUACUGGCUAUCUUGAGUACGGAAGAGGUAUGUGGAACUCCGAGUGUAGAGGUGAAAUUCGUAGAUAUUCGGAAGAACACCAGUGGCGAAGGCGACAUACUGGUCCGUUACUGACGCUGAGGCUCGAAAGCGUGGGGAGCAAACAGGAUUAGAUACCCUGGUAGUCCACGCUGUAAACGAUGAGUGCUAGUUGUCGGCAUGCAUGCAUGUCGGUGACGCAGCUACGACAUAAGUACACUCCGUCCGUCGGGAGGUACGGUCGCGAAGAAGUUAAACGUAACGUAAAGUUAAGUUAAGUAGUUACGGUUCGUGAGACGCGACCGACGGACGACGACGGAGGGAGGAGG
rnacentral:rRNA from 1 species